rnacentral:misc_RNA from 1 species
UUAAUGUUCCCUUAAUUAUGGGAUAGUUGGGUGACUGUCGGCAACACUCGACCCAGGUACUACUCGGCCAGUCAUUCCCGAGGCAUGCGGAUCGCUCACGUUAGAUUGCAUCAGCUGAAGUUCUUUCCGGUAACUUUGAGGUGUCCAAGGCAUUUUUCUCUCUCCAUCUUCAAAAUGGUUCUAGAUCUCGACCUAUACAGGGCUGAUAAAGGUGGCGACCCCGAAAAAAUCCGUGAAAAUCAGAGCAAGCGAUACAAAGACACCACUCUCGUGGACCAAGUCGUCGAAGCUGAUACAAAGUGGAGGAAAUUACGAUUUUCGGCCGACAACUGGAACAAACUCAAGAACGUAUGCAGUAAACAGAUCGGCGAAAAGAUGAAGCGUAAAGAGCCAGUGGGUGACAGUGAAGAGCUGCCUAAAAAUAUAGUUGAUGGCUUAGAGGACAUAACUCCAGAAAUGUUAGAGUCUUGGCUGAAAAACAGUUUAAGUUCCAAAGUAUACAUGUGCUUAAGGACAGUGCCUACUACAGUACCACCUGAAACCAUGGACCCAUCAGGUUGCAGCAAAACCUUGUCUUUGCCACAUGCUCCCACCUCGCGUCCACUGCGGGUGAAAAUAUGUAGCACCGUGGUAAAGACGAGUGCGACAGCAAUUGAAAAAAUACCGCAGCAAAACAGACGAGGUAAUACCUCGGGGAAGUAAUGUAUGUGUAUCAAGUAGAGUGGCUUUUUUUCAUCAACAUUGCUUGUAAACUCCAUCAUAAUCUGGAGUCAAGAAACACGUUCGAAAUGUACAUGUGCUGACUAUUAGUAAGCCCUCUUACGAACUCUAACGACACUAUUCAUAGCCUUUUUAAUAGGAUUCACAGGGUUUCGAAGGUCACUUGAUUAGAACGGCAACUGGUUGGAGCCUGCCGUAAUCAACAAUGCGUUGAUCUGCAAUUGUGGCUACACGUACCAAACGUUACCAAUUUCAGGAAUCUUUGUCUAAAGGAAGAUUACAUGAGCUGAAUGCCAUCAGGAAUAAAGAGCAGUCGCUGCUCGGAAAAACCCUUUUAAUUCUCUGUUGGAAUCAGUGGAAAUCAAACGGGUAUGAUUCUAACAUCUGGAGAUUCAGAAAAACAAAGCAGGAGAGACUACGAACACACUGAAACUCUUUGAAAGGUAAAAGAUAAAAAAGAAAACAGUUGAUACCAAAAAAUGCGUAGAUUACUACAUACCAUAACCCUUACUUCCAAAAAACCGUGGAAUUCAAUUCAAAAAUAGCAGCAUGUCUUUUGUCGGCAAAGCAAUUUUUGAGCUUUUUCCAACAUUUUGAUUAGAAUUGUAACAAGCCAAAUAACAAGCCUAUCACGACCACUUACGAAGGUUGUUACUUUCUCACUGAGCUCUCAAUGAAGACAGUGGCCAAGAUAUAUCUUACAAGAUAUCACAUGCCAAAAACUAUUUUGACCAUUGUUUAUCCAGCGUCUCGUUCACAAUUCGGUCCAUUACCCAUCCCCCAAAUUUAGCGCUAAGUAUACCAUGGGACCAGGCAAAUUUCAUUGGUUGCCACAAAGUAAUUUGACGAAUUACAAAGCAGUUAACGCCCAAGUCACUAGUGGAGGGAAGGUGCCUACGAAGCCCGGGGGCUGCAACCGCAGUCACAUCCCUAAGGUGCUAGAACACCCGACUGGCCUGCCCAACCCGCAACCAAGUCACGAGCCCCCCGCGCCAAGCCCCCUACAGGCACCCGUCACACUCAAGCCAGAUGGCAUUGGUGGAAAAAAAAU